GGACCCUGGGAUCACGACCUCAAGCAGAAGGCAGAUGCUUAACCGACGGAGCCACCCAGGGUCCGGAAACGUAAAGCUUUUGAUAUAACACCUCCUAAGAUUGUUUUUAAGAUUCUUCAAAAUAAAACACAGGAAACUUAGGUCUAUCUGGAGCUCUCAGAUAUGGAAAGACUUUGAAGUUACUGUGGGCUUAAUUAUCCUUUCUACAACUCCUAUUUUGAAAGGCAUUCAAUGUCGAGAACAUGGCAUCUUAUGUAGAAGCCAGGACUGAGCGUAUAUUGGAUGAGAAAGUGUUUUGGAGAAAAUCAAAGGGAUUGCCUACUUGACUUCUAACCUCUGCUAUCCUUCUUACUUGCCAUAUGAUCAUAUAAACAAAUGACUGGACAAAUAAUGUAGCCUGAGGUUUAAGUUUUGCGUUGGUAACCUAAAGAUUAUAAUGCCUAAGUCACAGGGUUAUGUGAUGGUUAAUGGGGUAAUGUAUAUUAAGUCCUUAACCUACUACCUUAUAAAGAAUAUUCAUAAGGAAUAUUCAGUGAAUGAUACAGAUUUAUUUAAUAGUAAACUUUACCAAUUUAGUUAAUGAUAAUGUCAUUGUGGAUAUUGAAUCCUUUACUCCUACUUUUCUAAGUUAUAGUGGUUUUGUUCAUCUUAGUCAAAAUUUUUUUGACUAACAUGAAUUUUCGGUGAAGAUUAGCAAAAAGACACAUUCUAUGAAAUCACAGAAUUGUGGUUUAUCCCAAGAUUUAACAUGAAGGAAUAAAAAAAUCCCUAUUUUAAUAAUUUGGAGAACCUUGAAUAUAACAAAUCUAUAAUUUCUUUGUAAAAUUUAAGUUGGUGAUUAUGGUAAAAGUGGCUAAGGAUAUAUAAAUAUUAUUUAUCGCCAUGAAGUUUAAAAUUCAGUAGCUGGAACUUGUAGGAAGGUAUGUGAUCUAGUGAUAAAUGAAAGUUUUGUCAAUGAUAUCAGAGAAAUGUUUGUAAGAUUCAGAUGGUUCUAUAUCUGUCAAACAGAAUUUUGCAAUGC